rnacentral:tRNA from 1 species
GUGGGAGUACCAAAGUGGUCAAAUGGGUACGGCUAAGGCAAUUUGUAGAAACCGUAUGGCUUAGUGCCUUCGCAGGUUCGAAUCCUGUCUCCCACA